UACGUAGGGUGCGAGCGUUGUCCGGAAUUAUUGGGCGUAAAGAGCUCGUAGGCGGUGUGUCGCGUCGGCCGUGAAAACCUGGGGCUUAACUCUGGGCGUGCGGUCGAUACGGGCAUCACUGGAGUUCGGCAGGGGAGACUGGAAUUCCUGGUGUAGCGGUGAAAUGCGCAGAUAUCAGGAAGAACACCAAUGGCGAAGGCAGCUCUCUGGGACGGUACUGACGCUGAGACGCGAAAGCGUGGGGAGCAAACAGG
rnacentral:rRNA from 1 species